UAUCCUACGGGAGGCAGCAGUGGGGAAUAUUGCGCAAUGGGCGAAAGCCUGACGCAGCGACGCCGCGUGAGGGAAUAAGGCCCUACGGGUCGUAAACCUCUUUUGCCGGGGAGCAAGGGCGGGGACGUGUCCCGGCCCGGAGAGUACCCGGAGAAAAAGCAUCGGCUAACUCCGUGCCAGCAGCCGCGGUAAUACGGAGGAUGCGAGCGUUAUCCGGAUUUAUUGGGUUUAAAGGGUGCGUAGGCGGGCUUUUAAGUCAGCGGUAAAAAUUCGGGGCUCAACCCCGUCCGGCCGUUGAAACUGGG
rnacentral:rRNA from 1 species